GAGUUUGAUCCUGGCUCAGAUUGAACGCUGGCGGCAUGCCUUACACAUGCAAGUCGAACGGCAGCAUGAUCUAGCUUGCUAGAUUGAUGGCGAGUGGCGAACGGGUGAGUAAUACAUCGGAACGUGCCCUGUAGUGGGGGAUAACUAGUCGAAAGAUUAGCUAAUACCGCAUACGACCUGAGGGUGAAAGUGGGGGACCGCAAGGCCUCAUGCUAUAGGAGCGGCCGAUGUCUGAUUAGCUAGUUGGUGGGGUAAAGGCCCACCAAGGCGACGAUCAGUAGCUGGUCUGAGAGGACGAUCAGCCACACUGGGACUGAGACACGGCCCAGACUCCUACGGGAGGCAGCAGUGGGGAAUUUUGGACAAUGGGCGAAAGCCUGAUCCAGCAAUGCCGCGUGUGUGAGAAGG
rnacentral:rRNA from 1 species